UAAACUGGGAUUAGAUACCCCAUUAUUUUAAAUUGUAAAUUGUUAUUAUCUACCUAAAUAUUAUGAACUUGUGUUUUAAAUUUAAAGGACUUGGCGGUAUCUUAGACUAUUUAGGGGAACCUGUUUUUUAAUCGAUGAUCCUCGUUUUACCUUACCUUUUUUUGUUUUCAGUUUGUAUACCGUCGUCGUCAGUUAACUUUAAAGAAAUUAGGAGUUGUCUUAUUAAAAUUUUGUUUAGGAUGUCAGAUCAAGGUGCAGCUUAUAAAAAGGUAAAUAUGGGUUACAAUUAUUUAAUUAUAAUAUGGAUUAUUUUGUGAAAUAUAUUAUUUGAAGGAGGACUUGAAAGUAAUUUAAUUUAGCUAUAUUAAAUGAAUAUAGCUCUUGGGUGUGUACACACCGCCCGUCACCCUCA
rnacentral:rRNA from 1 species